ACGUUCGACACCUACGGGAGGCAGCAGUGGGGAAUAUUGCACAAUGGGGGAAACCCUGAUGCAGCGACGCCGCGUGGAGGAAGAAGGUCUUCGGAUUGUAAACUCCUGUUGUUGGGGAAAAANGGAUGGUACCCAACAAGGAAGUGACGGCUAACUACGUGCCAGUAGCCGCGGUAAUCUGAGCGGGCUGGCAAGGC
rnacentral:rRNA from 1 species